CAGUCGCCGCGGUAAUACGGAGGGGGCUAGCGUUGUUCGGAAUUACUGGGCGUAAAGCGCACGUAGGCGGCUUGGUAAGUUAGAGGUGAAAGCCCGGAGCUCAACUCCGGAAUUGCCUUUAAGACUGCCGAGCUAGUAGGUGAGAGAGGUAAGUGGAAUUCCGAGUGUAGAGGUGAAAUUCGUAGAUAUUCGGAAGAACACCAGUGGCGAAGGCGGCUUACUGGCUCAUUCUAGACGCUGAGGUGCGAAAGCGUGGGGAGCAAACAGGAUUAGAUACCCCAGUAGUCCCUGUCUCUUAUAA
rnacentral:rRNA from 1 species